rnacentral:lncRNA from 12 species
GGAACACAGGUUUGAUGUUGUGCCUGGCAGCUACAACAAGGUGGAUGUCCGAGAUAGUUGAAGAGGAACAGGAAGUUAAGAAAAUGACGCUCUCUCCUGAAGAAAUAAGGUGUUUCCAGUCAAGAGCCUCUCUGGAAAGCCACGGCUGUUGCUCCUUUUGGGUGAGCACCUCCCUCCUGCUGAGUUCUGCCUGUCCCCUUUCUGGCCCAGGUCUGUCUGGGCCAUCCCUAACACUGACCACCAACCCUGGCCCAUAUUAGAGUAAGAGUCACAGGACAAAAGGACAAAUUCAACU